GGCUGAGGCGGCUCUUGAUGUACUUCAAUGGCUCGUGCACCUUUUCGCUGCGGCAGAGUCGAAAAGAAACCGAGACCAAGUCCUCCAGGACCUGCCAGGCCCGAGGAUGGUGAGUGCUCCGGAGGCGGCCGACGAGCUGCAAGCUGGCGUCGUUUUGGAUUGAGCACUGGGCGGGCCAGGGACUGUUCCCACUGGAGCUGCUUGCCUCGGUAAAUGAGCCUCUGCUCCGUCGCCGGAAUGCGGGUGAUCGCCUCUAUGCGCUCGUGGAGCGUCUUGACGGAGUCGUGCGCGUGGGCCUGGAUUACCAGAGUGUUGCCGCCGGAGAUCGUUUUGAUGAAGAAUUGGAGCAUCGGCCAGGACCGUGUCAACUCGUGGCGAGUGGACUCGGCGCGGGAGGACGACUGAGGCUGCGUCGCCGCUGCGCCGUUGUUGGAGGACGAAUCGACGGCGUUGGGCUCGUCCUUCCUCAUUUUGACGUGGACUAGGUCAGAAACGACGGCGUCGUCCUCGUCGUCCGAGCACGUCGAGAGGCCUUUAAGAAUCGAUCACGAAAUCAAGAAGGUGAGGUUGAAUUUGAGGGAGGCGGAGGCGGUGGUGAUCGGUGGUGGUGGUCGUCUACCAAACUAGCCCUCCUCUGACCGGAUAAAAACAAAAACUAAACUGUCCUCUAUUUCUCUCUGCUUCUGCUUCUUCUUCUUCUUCUUCUUUGGUGGAAUGCACCUCAAACCUUCGAAAUAUAUUACGUGAUAAGU
rnacentral:lncRNA from 1 species